rnacentral:rRNA from 1 species
GGUUAAGUGACUAAGCGUACACGGUGGAUGCCCUGGCAGUCAGAGGCGAUGAAGGACGUGCUAAUCUGCGAAAAGCGUCGGUAAGGUGAUAUGAACCGUUAUAACCGGCGAUGUCCGAAUGGGGAAACCCAGUGCAAUUCGUUGCACUAUCGUUAACUGAAUACAUAGGUUAACGAGGCGAACCGGGGGAACUGAAACAUCUAAGUACCCCGAGGAAAAGAAAUCAACCGAGAUUCCCCCAGUAGCGGCGAGCGAACGGGGAGCAGCCCAGAGUCUGAAUCAGCUUGUGUGUUAGUGGAACGGUCUGGAAAGUCCGACGGUACAGGGUGAUAGUCCCGUACACCAAAAUGCACAGGCUGUGAACUCGAAGAGUAGGGCGGGACACGUGGUAUCCUGUCUGAAUAUGGGGGGACCAUCCUCCAAGGCUAAAUACUCCUGACUGACCGAUAGUGAACCAGUACCGUGAGGGAAAGGCGAAAAGAACCCCGGCGAGGGGAGUGAAAAAGAACCUGAAACCGUGUACGUACAAGCAGUGGGAGCACCUUAGGGUGUGACUGCGUACCUUUUGUAUAAUGGGUCAGCGACUUAUAUUCUGUAGCAAGGUUAACCGUAUAGGGGAGCCGCAGGGAAACCGAGUCUUAACUGGGCGUUAAGUUGCAGGGUAUAGACCCGAAACCCGGUGAUCUAGCCAUGGGCAGGUUGAAGGUUGGGUAACACUAACUGGAGGACCGAACCGACUAAUGUUGAAAAAUUAGCGGAUGACUUGUGGCUGGGGGUGAAAGGCCAAUCAAACCGGGAGAUAGCUGGUUCUCCCCGAAAGCUAUUUAGGUAGCGCCUCGUGAACUCAUCUUCGGGGGUAGAGCACUGUUUCGGCUAGGGGGUCAUCCCGACUUACCAACCCGAUGCAAACUACGAAUACCGAAGAAUGUUAUCACGGGAGACACACGGCGGGUGCUAACGUCCGUCGUGAAGAGGGAAACAACCCAGACCGCCAGCUAAGGUCCCAAAGUCAUGGUUAAGUGGGAAACGAUGUGGGAAGGCACAGACAGCCAGGAUGUUGGCUUAGAAGCAGCCAUCAUUUAAAGAAAGCGUAAUAGCUCACUGGUCGAGUCGGCCUGCGCGGAAGAUGUAACGGGGCUAAACCAUGCACCGAAGCUGCGGCAGCGACACUAUGUGUUGUUGGGUAGGGGAGCGUUCUGUAAGCCUGCGAAGGUGACCUGUGAGGGUUGCUGGAGGUAUCAGAAGUGCGAAUGCUGACAUAAGUAACGAUAAAGCGGGUGAAAAGCCCGCUCGCCGGAAGACCAAGGGUUCCUGUCCAACGUUAAUCGGGGCAGGGUGAGUCGACCCCUAAGGCGAGGCCGAAAGGCGUAGUCGAUGGGAAACAGGUUAAUAUUCCUGUACUUGGUGUUACUGCGAAGGGGGGACGGAGAAGGCUAUGUUAGCCGGGCGACGGUUGUCCCGGUUUAAGCAUGUAGGCUGAUUGUCCAGGCAAAUCCGGAUAAUCAAGGCUGAGGUGUGAUGACGAGGCACUACGGUGCUGAAGUAACAAAUGCCCUGCUUCCAGGAAAAGCCUCUAAGCAUCAGGUAACAUUAAAUCGUACCCCAAACCGACACAGGUGGUCAGGUAGAGAAUACCAAGGCGCUUGAGAGAACUCGGGUGAAGGAACUAGGCAAAAUGGUGCCGUAACUUCGGGAGAAGGCACGCUGGUGUGUAGGUGAAGUCCCUGCGGAUGGAGCUGAGACCAGUCGAAGAUACCAGCUGGCUGCAACUGUUUAUUAAAAACACAGCACUGUGCAAACACGAAAGUGGACGUAUACGGUGUGACGCCUGCCCGGUGCCGGAAGGUUAAUUGAUGGGGUUAUCCGUAAGGAGAAGCUCUUGAUCGAAGCCCCGGUAAACGGCGGCCGUAACUAUAACGGUCCUAAGGUAGCGAAAUUCCUUGUCGGGUAAGUUCCGACCUGCACGAAUGGCGUAAUGAUGGCCAGGCUGUCUCCACCCGAGACUCAGUGAAAUUGAACUCGCUGUGAAGAUGCAGUGUACCCGCGGCAAGACGGAAAGACCCCGUGAACCUUUACUAUAGCUUGACACUGAACAUUGAGCCUUGAUGUGUAGGAUAGGUGGGAGGCUUUGAAGCGUGGACGCCAGUCUGCGUGGAGCCAACCUUGAAAUACCACCCUUUAAUGUUUGAUGUUCUAACGUUGGCCCCUGACCGGGGUUGCGGACAGUGUCUGGUGGGUAGUUUGACUGGGGCGGUCUCCUCCCAAAGCGUAACGGAGGAGCACGAAGGUUAGCUAAUCCUGGUCGGACAUCAGGAGGUUAGUGCAAUGGCAUAAGCUAGCUUGACUGCGAGCGUGACGGCGCGAGCAGGUGCGAAAGCAGGUCAUAGUGAUCCGGUGGUUCUGAAUGGAAGGGCCAUCGCUCAACGGAUAAAAGGUACUCCGGGGAUAACAGGCUGAUACCGCCCAAGAGUUCAUAUCGACGGCGGUGUUUGGCACCUCGAUGUCGGCUCAUCACAUCCUGGGGCUGAAGUAGGUCCCAAGGGUAUGGCUGUUCGCCAUUUAAAGUGGUACGCGAGCUGGGUUUAGAACGUCGUGAGACAGUUCGGUCCCUAUCUGCCGUGGGCGCUGGAGAAUUGAGGGGGGCUGCUCCUAGUACGAGAGGACCGGAGUGGACGCAUCACUGGUGUUCGGGUUGUCAUGCCAAUGGCACUGCCCGGUAGCUAAAUGCGGAAGAGAUAAGUGCUGAAAGCAUCUAAGCACGAAACUUGCCCCGAGAUGAGUUCUCCCUGAGACUUUAAGUCUCCUGAAGGAACGUUAAAGACGAUGACGUUGAUAGGCCGGGUGUGUAAGCGCAGCGAUGCGUUGAGCUAACCGGUACUAAUGAACCGUGAGGCUUAACCUU